AUGAGAACACCUCCUCCUCUAAUGUGAAUAUUGAAGAUGGAGAACCUCGUGAAAACCCUAACAAAACAACCAUAUCAUUUUUCAAAUCCAAAAACUCCCAUCUUUUCCAUCGUGAAUCCAAAACUACAGAAACUCCAGUCAAUCAUACACAAUCCCUAAUCGAAGUGAUGAAAAUGAUGAGUGUACCUGAAGCAGGCCCCAAACAAAAAAAUAGUUUACUCCACCAAGACGAUUCAUUUCAGUCCACCAAGCUAAGAAGUUUAGUCCACCAUUUCACAUCCGUCCGAGUAAUGAGUAAACUAAGAAGAAGAACAGAGAAAAAGAGGGAGGGAGAUGAAAUUGAGUUCAGUUAUUGAUCACAACAUUGAUGUUUGUGUGCGCCACUGGGAUUGAGUACACCUGUAGAUGAGCGUCAUACUAGCUUACGAUGCAUGGUCAGGCGAGGGAAAGGCAAAUGGUGUCACAUAUGAGUAACUACUUACGCAGUUUAUGUCACCUGGAGAUUGAAUGAUUG